GCGCCGGCACCGGCAAGGACGUGCGGGAGCCCAUCAAGCUCCACACCGUGCAGCGCGUUGAGGUCAGGUCCAGAGGCGGAGAUAAUCCUACCGUGCCAGAUGGAUCGCACGCUGGGGUCAACUAGGGACUGCUGAGCGGACGCCGUGGAUGUACAACUUCCUUGCCUGCCGCUCUCGCUGUGUCACGACAUUUAUUUGCUAGCUAGUGCUCUCAACUCUGAAUGUAAUGUUUUUUUAUUUACAGAAAAUAAAGUUCCUUUGUAAGCCGUGCGAGUCGGUGACCUCGCAUUUCAAAUCCUGCGAUUGUGCUCGCCAGCAUUUUUGAAUCUGUGUAUGACCAUGUAAUGUUGAUUAGUUGAUUUAUA